rnacentral:tRNA from 1 species
GGGAAUAUGGCUUAGUGGUAGAGCACUUGCCUAGCAAGUAUGAGGCCCUGAGUUCGAUUUCUACCACAAUAUAUUCA